GAUGAACGCUGGCGGCGUGCCUAAUACAUGCCAGUCGAGCGAACAGAUGAGGAUCUUGCUCCUCUGACGUUAGCGGCGGACGGGUGAGUAACACGAGGAUAACCUACCUAUAAGACUGGGAUAACUUCGGGAAACCGGUGCUAAUACCGGAUAAUAUAUUCAACCGCAUGGUUCAAUAGUGAAAGACGGUUUUGCUGUCACUGAUAGAUGUAUCCGCGCCGCAUUAGCUAGUUGGUAAGGUAACGGCUUACCAAGGCAACGAUGCGUAGCCGACCUGAGAGGGUGAUGGGGCUCACUGGAGCUGAGACACGGUCCAGACUCCUACGGGAGGCAGCAGUAGGGAAUCGUCCGCAAAGGGCGAAAGACUGACGGAGCAACGCAGCGUGAGUGAUGAAGGUCUUCGGAUCGUAUAACUCUGUUAUUAGGGAAGAACAAAUGUGUAAGGAACGAUGCACGUCUUGACGGUACCUAAUGAGAAAGCAACGGCUAACUACGUG
rnacentral:rRNA from 1 species